GCUAUCUUGUUACAGUACUGGAAGUCCCCUUAGAUCUUCCGUCAGAAGCAGAGAUCAAAAGAUGGUGUGGUGAGCCUAUAAAGGCUGCUGUCAUACCCACAAGCAUCUUUCUCACCAACAGGAAAGGUUUUCCAGUUCUAUCCAAAGCACACCAGGCUUUUGUCAGGCAGCUGUUCAAGUUGAAUGUACAGCUUAUCCUAUCUGGUUGUUCUAAACACAAAGACAAGGUAAAGUAAAGAAUGUGUAUGAUUUUUAGUCUUUU